rnacentral:rRNA from 1 species
UACGAAGGGGGCUAGCGUUGCUCGGAAUUACUGGGCGUAAAGGGAGCGUAGGCGGACAUUUAAGUCAGAGGUGAAAGCCCAGGGCUCAACCCUGGAACUGCCUUUGAUACUGGAUGUCUAGAGUAUGGGAGAGGUGUGUGGAACUCCGAGUGUAGAGGUGAAAUUCGUAGAUAUUCGGAAGAACACCAGUGGCGAAGGCGACACACUGGCCCAUUACUGACGCUGAGGCUCGAAAGCGUGGGGAGCAAACAGGAUUAGAUACCCUGGUAGUCCACGCUGUAAACGAUGAGUGCUAGUUGUCGGCAUGCAUGCAUGUCGGUGACGCAGCUAACGCAUUAAGCACUCCGCCUGGGGAGUACGGUCGCAAGAUUAAA